UGGCUAAGAUGUGAGUACCCCUAGUAAAGAAUAAAGAAUAAAGAAUAAAGAAUGGUUAAUGCUAAAGUAUAGCAAUAAUAAAGAAUGGCUAAGAAUUAAGAACGGCUAGUAAUAAGAAAUGGCUAGCGUUAGAGAACGGCUAGCGAUAAAGAGCGGCUAAUAAUAAAGAAUGUCAAAGAAUAAAGAAUUGCAAGUAGAAAAGAUUGACAAAUGAUAAAGAAUUGCUAAUAAUAUAAUGAAUGGCAAAUGAUAGAGAGUAGAACCAAUUAAUCUACUUGCAUGAGUUGCAUGAUUUGCAUAUUGCAUAUUGUGAGGCAUGAACAUGAUAAUUGUUAGUUGCAUAAAUUAUAUAUCUGUGGAUAUUUGUUGGACUAAUAUGUUGCAGUGCCUCCUUUGGACCUGGUGGGUCGAGCUUUUUCCUUGGGUGGCCGUACUCACUAGUAACUAUGGACAAUAGUUCUCACCCCUGUGUUGUUUUUGGAGGUACAAGUUCACACGUGAGCGGCGCGGCGGCGUAAGGAAAGGGCGUAGCUCCGUAGUUAGCGCCCUACCACCGAGACCAGAGAUAGCAGUAUCCUGAGUCAGCUACUUAGGGAUGUAAAAGAAAUGAAAAGAACAAUGUUGUAAUAAUCAUGUUUAAUCGGAUUGUAUUCGGAAGCUAGAAAGAGUAAAUGAGAAUUGAAAAUGUAAUUUGUAAAAUGUAUGUGAGUUGAAUGCUUGUAAUAGCGUAGUAAUUAUGUUUUCAAUACCUUCCUUAUGCAAUCUAUAUUUG
rnacentral:lncRNA from 1 species